rnacentral:rRNA from 1 species
ACGUACACUCCUACGGGAGGCAGCAGUGGGGAAUAUUGGACAAUGGGCGCGAGCCUGAUCCAGCCAUGCCGCGUGAGUGAUGAAGGCCCUAGGGUUGUAAAGCUCUUUCACCGGUGAAGAUAAUGACGGUAACCGGAGAAGAAGCCCCGGCUAACUUCGUGCCAGCAGCCGCGGUAAUACGAAGGGGGCUAGCGUUGUUCGGAUUUACUGGGCGUAAAGCGCACGUAGGCGGACUAUUAAGUCAGGGGUGAAAUCCCGGGGCUCAACCCCGGAACUGCCUUUGAUACUGGUAGUCUUGAGUUCGAGAGAGGUGAGUGGAAUUCCGAGUGUAGAGGUGAAAUUCGUAGAUAUUCGGAGGAACACCAGUGGCGAAGGCGGCUCACUGGCUCGAUACUGACGCUGAGGUGCGAAAGCGUGGGGAGCAAACAGGAUUAGAUACCCCUGUAGUCCCAUGAU